ACGGCGCUAACAUGACGCGCCGCCACCCACACUAGUAAGCCCGGGGACAGCUGGAGCAGCCGAGCCAGCAACCAGUCUGCACCAGUCAGCCAGAGGAUCAGAAUGCGCUGACUUAGUGAGGAGCCGUCUGGGCGUCACGUUCUGCAGAGAGAACAUUUAGCUGGACCUGGUGAUUCUUCAGUAAAGGGAGGAAUCUCAACAGAAACAUGCAAGAUAUAGAUCAGUAUAAAUAUGUUUAUUUCUUCAUGUAUACCUUUAAUUAUGCUUUAGGCAAUAUUAUUUUAAUAUGACAUGUUUAAUGUUUGUAAACAAAUUGUUAUCCAUAGCAACCGUUGAUGUCAAUACCGGAAGUGGGAGGGGCUUCUGUGCAUAUAUACUGUGAUGGAACUAUCUACUUGUAUGUCAGUCUGAGUAAGGCUUUGGGCGAAACGCGUUAUUACUUGUAAUUAGCACUGUGUUAAUAAACACGUUACACUUGGCAGUAGAAAACAAUGAGUGCCAGGAUUUCUUUCCUUCAAGUUCACACUGCCUCCGCGUGCACCACUACAGGUCUCGAG